CCAUCAGGUGCAGGUGCAUCAUCAGUCUAGGGAAGUAAGGUGGAGUAAGUGCUCUAGCUGAUGCACAAGAGAGUUUAAAGAUGGAAUUUGGAUACUAAGGCAGGCUUCUUCACGCCAGCUGUAUAUGAGGUGCUUUGUCUUCCUCUGCAGAGCUUUCCUUGAGUCUGCUGCCCAUUGAAGCUCCCUCUCAUGGCAUCCCAAGGAGAACAACUUGCCCAUUUGCAGUUGUGCGACUGGACGUGGCUUCAGCACCACUGCAUCAAUCUAUGGUGGAAAGAUUGCAUGUGCUCUAUGUUUUAAGCAUCUUUGGGACACGUUUUCCAUCGUUGCAGAGGUACCUGUAUCUCCAGCUCUUCCGUUUUCUACGUAGCAGGCAUCUUUGAGUAAAAUCCUGACCUGAGCUCCUCUGAGCACUGCCUGAUGGCUGACAGCAGAAGGAACUGAGAAACAGUGAAGCACUGGGGAACCUGAUAAUAGAGAUGACACUGUGUGGAUAAAUGAAAGCUCACUAGAAUAAAAGAAGAACUAGAUUUAACAGAUCAAAGACUGCUAGGCUUGAUCUUUGCUUGGCUCCAUGUUGACUCUAUGAAAGACACAGGUAUCAGGAAGGCUCACUAGAACUGUUGCUUCGGAACACAAAGGCCCCUCACCUGUUGUCUCUCAUCCUCUGCCAGCUGAUGCCAGACACUUCCAAAGAAGGUGAGGAAUCACACUGCACAUCUGAUCUUUGCUCUGCUAAAACUCUGCCCUAGAUGGAGGGUCUGAGAUCCAACACGACCAUCCCAUAAUCCAGAGCUUUCAGGCUGUAUCAUUGGCACUUGUUAAAUUUUCAGCAUCUGGGAGAGGAAGGCUUCUCAGACAUAUGGAAACCAAGAAAAAGGGCCAUGAAUUUUUACUCAGACUAGAUUAAAAACGAUCUUUUUUACUCAGAGGAUUGAGUAGCAUG
ensembl:lncRNA